GACGAACGCUGGCGGCGUGCCUAGUACAUGCAAGUUGAGCGCUGAAGGUUGGUACUUGUACCAACUGGAUGAGCAGCGAACGGGUGAGUAACGCGUGGGGAGUCUGCCUUUGAGCGGGGGACAACAUUUGGAAACGAAUGCUAAUACCGCAUAAAAACUUUAAACACAAGUUUUAAGUUUGAAAGAUGCAAUUGCAUCACUCAAAGAUGAUCCCGCGUUGUAUUAGCUAGUUGGUGAGGUAAAGGCUCACCAAGGCGAUGAUACAUAGCCGACCUGAGAGGGUGAUCGGCCACAUUGGGACUGAGACACGGCCCAAACUCCUACGGGAGGCAGCAGUAGGGAAUCUUCGGCAAUGGACGAAAGUCUGACCGAGCAACGCCGCGUGAGUGAAGAAGGUUUUCGGAUCGUAAAACUCUGUUGGUAGAGAAGAACGUUGGUGAGAGUGGAAAGCUCAUCAAGUGACGGUAACUACCCAGAAAGGGACGGCUAACUACGUG
rnacentral:rRNA from 1 species